GGUGGCAUGGCUCAGGAGGUACCGCAGCUGGUCUAGGAAUCAGAAGGUUCCUGGUUCGAUUCCUGGCUCCCUUA